rnacentral:lncRNA from 1 species
CAUUUGCACAUCUUAUCCCUUUGAUGAUAGAACAUGCCCUACCUGCCCGCAGGUUUGACAAGGCAAACAUUUGGUUCCAUUUAUUGGGGUAGCUCAGGGCCACUGCUUCGUAGGUGUGAUUUCACUCAGUCCUUCACACAAACCGUGAGGUUGACCUCAUGUUCAUCCCCACAACACAGAUGAGAAAACCAAGGGUUAGAGGACAGGCAGUGAGGGGCAGGCAAAGCCAGGGGUCAGAUCUGUUCUGGCUUCAGAGCCUCGACUCUGUCUCACAAAUAGAAUAUUUUCUUCUAAAAGUCAUAGCACUGUCUUUGGGGUGGGGUGGGGCCAUGGAUUUUCUUGUUGAAAAAGAUCCAGAGCUCUCAUAUGGAAAUGGGUCCACAGGGGCAAGGAGCCUGGCCAGGACUGGAACACUGAUGGAUGGAUACUUUUGGAAGGUGCUGGGAAUGGGCACGCUGUCAAAGUCACUGGCCACUGCUCUCACCUGUACAUGGUAUUGAGUACUGGUCCACGUACUCAGCCAGUUCCUUCACAAGUCUGCGAGAGUGGGCACAUGCCUGAAGAAUGAGGAUGGGGCGGGGAGGGUGAGGAGGGAAAAUGGGGGCAUAAUGCAGGGUCCUACCUGGGGGACUGGAUAUUGAUUGGGAGCUUCCUGGACAAGUGAGGCAGGUAAGACUAGGUGAGGGCUGGUGAAGACAGAUGAGGCUAGGUGAGACUAGGUGGGGGCAGGUGAGACUGAAUGAGGGCAGGUGAGGACAAAUGAGACUGGGUGAGGGCAGGUGAGGUCAGGUGAGACUGAAUGAGGGCAGGUGAGGCAGGUGAGGCAGGUGAGGGCAGAUGAGGUCAGGUGAGGGCAGGUGAAGCCAGGUAAGGGCCUGGGCUUUACUGGGAGAUGCAGAAAGGCAAGGACAACCCUGAAGAGCAAAUGGAGACUUGCUGAGCCUGAGGACAUCCAACCACAUGCCUUCCCGGAGUCCCUUUGUUUCCUGCUCCAGCCUCAUAUGAUGCCCCUCCCCCCACCUGACCUGCCUCCACAGACACAAAGGUGUCAUGUGACACUGGCUGAAGAGAAACCUGUGCUCUGUCCUGAAGAGAAUCUUCACAGUGAAGGGACUAGAAAAUAGAGUGAAGAUGACCACUGAGGGGAGCAGGUACAUGGGCCCUGCUUGGGGCUGAUGGGAAGACAGGAGGGAACUACAUGGGCUGCCAGCUCCAGAAGGACAUGAGCCAGUAUGUGACCCUGCUCUGACCACUCUGAAUACUGCAAGUGUCCACAGAGGCUGCACUGUGGCUCCUUACAGAUGUGAUGCCUGCUGUCACUACCUCAGUUGUUCCACAUGCCAAGCAUCCAGGAGAGAUGACAGAUUUUCUCAGGUUCCAAUGAUACACUGUAGCAAAGCAGAGAGAUGAGCUGAACACCGCUGCUGCUGUCAGAGAUGCCAGGAGAAGCCAGCAAUUUCUGCCCCUCCCCUGGAAGGACUCUGGGAGUCCUGACACCUGGUGGUAGUCAGCCACCGACCAGCGCAGCUCUUCAGGACACUACUAGAAAAGUGUCCCCUCGCCUCCCCGCUACUGCUGCCCAAGCAGAAGCUGAGUUUCUGCUCUACUUUUCUGCAAGUGACCUUCUGCCAGCA